UGUCUCCUACGGGACGCAGCAGUAGGGAAUCUUCCACAAUGGGCGAAAGCCUGAUGGAGCAACGCCGCGUGGGGGAAGAAGGUCUUCGGAUCGUAAAACCCUGUUGUUAGAGAAGAAAGUGCGUGAGAGUAACUGUUCACGUUUCGACGGUAUCUAACCAGAAAGCCACGGCUAACUACGUGCCAGCAGCCGCGGUAAUACGUAGGUGGCAAGCGUUAUCCAGAUUGAUUGGGCGUAAAGGGAACGCAGGCGGUCUUUUAAGUCUGGUGUGAAAGUCGUCGGCUUAACCGGAGUAUGGCGU
rnacentral:rRNA from 1 species